UACAGAGGUCCCAAGCGUUGUUCGGAUUCACUGGGCGUAAAGGGUGCGUAGGCGGUCGGGUAAGUCUGAUGUGAAAUCUCACAGCUUAACUGUGAAACUGCAUUGGAUACUAUCCGGCUUGAGGAAUGGAGGGGAGACUGGAAUACUUGGUGUAGCAGUGAAAUGCGUAGAUAUCAAGUGGAACACCAGUGGCGAAGGCGAGUCUCUGGACAUUUCCUGACGCUGAGGUACGAAAGCCAGGGGAGCAAACGGG
rnacentral:rRNA from 1 species